GAUGAACGCUAGCUACAGGCUUAACACAUGCAAGUCGAGGGGAAACGCCAUCGAAAGCUUGCUUUUGAUGGGCGUCGACCGGCGCACGGGUGAGUAACGCGUAUCCAACCUGCCCAUCACUUGGGAAUAACCUUGCGAAAGUAAGACUAAUACCCAAUGAUAUCCCACGAAGGCAUCGGAAUGGGAUUAAAGAUUUAUCGGUGAUGGAUGGGGAUGCGUCUGAUUAGCUUGUUGGCGGGGUAACGGCCCACCAAGGCAACGAUCAGUAGGGGUUCUGAGAGGAAGGUCCCCCACAUUGGAACUGAGACACGGUCCAAACUCCUACGGGAGGCAGCAGUGAGGAAUAGUGGCCAAUGGGCGAGAGCCUGAACCAGCCAAGUAGCGUGCAGGAAGACGGCCCUAUGGGUUGUAAACUGCUUUUAUAAGGGAAUAAAGUGGGUCACGUGUGACUUUUUGCAUGUACCUUAUGAAUAAGGACCGGCUAAUUCCGUG
rnacentral:rRNA from 1 species